UACGGAGGGUGCAAGCGUUAUCCGGAUUCACUGGGCUUAAAGGGUGCGUAGGUGGGUUGAUAAGUCAGUGGUGAAAUCCCCGAGCUUAACUUGGGAACUGCCAUUGAUACUAUUGAUCUUGAAUACCGUGGAGGUCAGCGGAAUAUGUCAUGUAGCGGUGAAAUGCUUAGAUAUGACAUAGAACACCAAUUGCGAAGGCAGCUGGCUACGCGAAUAUUGACACUGGUGCACGAAAGCGUGGGGAUCAAACAGG
rnacentral:rRNA from 1 species